rnacentral:rRNA from 1 species
AUUGAACGCUGGCGGCAGGCCUAACACAUGCAAGUCGAACGAGUGGCGGACGGGUGAGUAAUGUCUGGGAAACUGCCCGAUGGUGUGGGAUAACUACUGGAAACGGUAGCUAAUACCGCAUACUAUCGGAUGUGCCCAGCUGGGUUUCGCUUGUAGGUGGGGUAACGGCUCACCUAGGCGACGAUCGCUCGCUGGUCUGAGAGGAUGACCAGCGACAGGGGAAAUGGGAACCGGUCCAGACACCUACGUGAGGCAGGAGGGGGGAAUGUUGGACAAUGGGCGAAAGCCUGAUACAGCCAUGCCGCGUGUAUGAAGAAGGCCGUCGGGUUGUAAAGUACUUUCAGCGUGGAGGCGUUACUCGCAGAAGAAGCACCGGCUAACUCCGUGCCAGCCGCCGCGGUAAUUC